AGAGUUUGAUCCUGGCUCAGGACGAACGCUGGCGGUGUGCUUAACACAUGCAAGUGGUGCGACGAACCAGGCUUCGGCCUGGGGCAAAGCCGCGAACGGGUGAGUAACACGUGGGUAAUCUGCCCCGAUGACCGGGACAACCCGAGGAAACUCGGGCUAAUACCGGAUGUGGUGCCCAGACAUAAGUUUGGUCACUAAAGGUAGCUUCGGCUUCCGCAUUGGGAGGGGCCCGCGGCCCAUUAGCUUGUUGGUGGGGUCAAGGCCUACCAAGGCAACGAUGGGUAGCUGGUCUGAGAGGACGAUCAGCCACACUGGGACUGAGACACGGCCCAGACUCCUACGGGAGGCAGCAGUGGGGAAUCUUGCGCAAUGCGCGAAAGCGUGACGCAGCAACACCGCGUGAGGGAAGACGGCCUUAGGGUUGUAAACCUCUUUCAGAUGGGACGAAGGUUGUCCGGUGAAUAGCCGAGAUAAUUGACGGUACCGUCAGAAGAAGCUCCGGCUAACUACGUGCCAGCAGCCGCGGUAAUACGUAGGUGGCAAGCGUUGUCCGGAUUUAUUGGGCGUAAAGCGAGCGCAGGCGGUUUUUUAAGUCUGAUGUGAAAGCCUUCGGCUUAACCGAAGAAGUGCAUUAGAAACUGGGAAACUUGAGUGCAGAAGAGGACAGUGGAACUCCAUGUGUAGCGGUGAAAUGCGUAGAUAUAUGGAAGAACACCAGUGGCGAAGGCGGCUGUCUGGUCUGUAACUGACGCUGAGGCUCGAAAGUAUGGGGAGCGAACAGGAUUAGAUACCCUGGUAGUCCAUACCGUAAACGAUGAAUGCUAAGUGUUGGAGGGUUUCCGCCCUUCAGUGCUGCAGCUAACGCAUUAAGCAUUCCGCCUGGGGAGUACGACCGCAAGGUUGAAACUCAAAGGAAUUGACGGGGGCCCGCACAAGCGGUGGAGCAUGUGGUUUAAUUCGAAGCAACGCGAAGAACCUUACCAGGUCUUGACAUCCUUUGACCACUGUAGAGAUACAGCUUUCCCUUCGGGGACAAAGUGACAGGUGGUGCAUGGUUGUCGUCAGCUCGUGUCGUGAGAUGUUGGGUUAAGUCCCGCAACGAGCGCAACCCUUAUGACUAGUUGCCAGCAUUUAGUUGGGCACUCUAGUAAGACUGCCGGUGACAAACCGGAGGAAGGUGGGGAUGACGUCAAAUCAGCAUGCCCCUUAUGACCUGGGCUACACACGUGCUACAAUGGUCGGUACAACGAGUUGCGAACCCGCGAGGGUAAGCUAAUCUCUUAAAGCCGAUCUCAGUUCGGAUUGUAGGCUGCAACUCGCCUACAUGAAGCCGGAAUCGCUAGUAAUCGCGGAUCAGCACGCCGCGGUGAAUACGUUCCCGGGCCUUGUACACACCGCCCGUCACACCAUGAGAGUUUGUAACACCCGAAGUCGGUGGGGUAACCCUUUUAGGGAACUAGCCGCCUAAGGUGGGACAGAUGAUUGGGGUGAAGUCGUAACAAGGUA
rnacentral:rRNA from 1 species